rnacentral:rRNA from 1 species
UACGUAGGCAGCGAGCGUUGUUCGGAAUUACUGGGCGUAAAGCGUGCGUAGACGGUAGCGUAAGUCGGGUGUGAAAGCCCCGGGCUCAACCUGGGAAUUGCAUUCGAGACUGCUCUGCUAGGGUGCGGAAGAGGGAAGCGGAAUUUCCGGUGUAGCGGUGAAAUGCGUAGAUAUCGGAAGGAACACCAGUGGCGAAAGCGGCUUCCUGGUCCAGCACCGACGUUCAGGCACGAAAGCGUGGGGAGCAAACAGG